rnacentral:lncRNA from 1 species
UUUCCACUCAUUUAUUCUUUCAUUUUCCAUCUUCCUUUGCCUUCAAGUGUCAAUUGGCUCCUCUCAGUCACAGCUGUACAAAUCACAGGACCCCUUUUUUUUUAAUUGGCAGAAGACAUAUACAUUAUUCAUCUAUUCAUUUCCAUCUAAUGGAAAUCCAAAAAAGACAAUUGUAUUUUCCAACAAAACAUUUAAAGCUGCUUUUUCCCCCAUGAGAAACGGGACAGAAGACUCCAUCCAUGGUCUAUUUGGAUACUGAAUGAACAAAGUCUGGCUUCUCCUCAGAGUGAAACAGAUUGCUCCCAGCCAGUGAACUCAGCCUACUUUCUCCUCGUGUAAUUUUAGACUGCACAGGAAGCACUCAAGACUAAAGAAGCUGGAAUGUGCCCUUUUACCUGCAAUGGUACUGGCAACGCUGGCAUGUGCCACCAAUGACGUGGAACAGAGCUGACAGGCACGCUUUGCUCAGCAAAGCUUCUUUUCAUUUGACCUGAUAUCUAUCCCUGUAGCUGUGCAAUGUCCUACAAUUACUUCUGACAUCACUGAUUUUAAAACAAGGCAUACCAUACUGUAUUAUCUACUCCUCUUAAAAGGAAUUGUAAAAAUGCUACCAUAGUUUUGUUAUCCCUGACUGAAGAUGCAAACCCAUGAAUGAACUGGCAGUCCAGCAGGAUUAUCCUCACCAUAGGUAGCUACAUCAUCCUCCGUACAUCAAUUUGAGGUCUCCCUGUGUGCGGUGUCUCAUUAUGAGAACCUGAGUAAAAUGUCUAAACCAUUCCGAUGUCUGGUCACGUAACAUUAAGCAAUUUACCAACAUUCUGGUCUCUAAUAGGUAACAGUGUGGCACAACUGCGCUUUGAAAGUCUCUCACACUCAACCAUUAAAUAACUAUUGGAGAACUUUGGAGCCAGUUCAUAGAAAAUGUUAGGUAAUACCUGCUUCCUUCACAGUUACAAACCGACAGAAGAUGACAUCAUCUUUCUUUCCUCUCAUUUAUUUAUAUGAAUCAGAAUCAGGCUUUUAAUUCACACCAGGUAAUAAGUAUUCAAAAGCACCUACAGACAUUCUGUAUAUAUUAAUCGAAAACAUAAAUUUAUUCAUUACCCUAAAAUUCCCCUGAUAGGGUUCUCGGGUAACAAUCUGUGAGCUUC